rfam:Medicago truncatula strain A17 chromosome 8, whole genome shotgun sequence.
UUCGCAAAUGAUGACAAACUAGACAGAUCUUCUAAUUAGAGAAAAUGCUGAUUUGUCUGUGGGAAUCUCUCUGAUGCACA